rnacentral:rRNA from 1 species
GGACCCGCACAAGCGGUGGAGCAUGUGGUUUAAUUCGAUGCAACGCGAAGAACCUUACCUGGUCUUGACAUCCUGCGAACUUUCUAGAAAUAGAUUGGUGCCUUCGGGAACGCAGUGACAGGUGCUGCAUGGCUGUCGUCAGCUCGUGUCGUGAGAUGUUGGGUUAAGUCCCGUAACGAGCGCAACCCCUAUCCUUAUUUGCCAGCACAUCAUGGUGGGAACUAUAAGGAGACUGCCGGUGAUAAACCGGAGGAAGGCGGGGACGACGUCAAGUCAUCAUGGCCCUUACGACCAGGGCUACACACGUGCUACAAUGGGAAGGACAAAGAGCCGCGAAGCCGCGAGGUGUAGCUAAUCUCAUAAACCGUGGCUCAGUUCAGAUCGUAGGCUGCAACUCGCCUACGUG